UAUUUUUCCAAAACCUCUUUUCUCCUCUACGACUAAUCAAAUCCGUGCUCUUCCCCAAGAACAAGUUGUUCUGCCUUUCAAAGCAAUCUAAAACACACACGCAACAGUCAAUUCUCUCUCAUCAGAACCACCUUUCUCUUCUCAUUCCUCACUCUUCAACUCAACCUUCAGCUUUGUUGUUCUUCUUCUUCUACUUUUGAUUCUCAAACACCUUAAGCAUUUUCGAUUUUUACCAUUCCAAAAUCCUCUCUAUUUUUCGAACUACAACUAUAUUUUUCAUUCUUGCUUUUGUUUUAGAUUGGACUCUACGUGUUUGAUUUUAACGAAUCAUUCUUUUGUUUUUCAGGUUAUUCAAGUGUCAUCUAUUGCUUUGUAGCUGAGUUCUUCGUCAACUGAAGUAUGGAGGUUUCUAGGAAUCUUGAUGGAGAUAAGUUUAUGGGUUUCAAUCUUUCGUUCAAAAAUGUGAAAAAAGGUUCAAUCAUUUGGUCCUGGUUUGAACUCAAAUUUUUAUGUGUAUAAGCACUAGAGUUUGUAGACUUUAGUCCUGAGGGCAGUGUCAACAAUUCAUCCUUAAGGAGAGUGCUAACUUCUUUAGAUGAACUGAUUUAGAUGCAGAGGGCAAUGUCAUGCAGAGGAUAAUGUCAACAAUUUUUACUGAUUUAGAUGAGCUGAUGUUAAAUUAGUUAUCUUUGGUUUGUUGUGUGCUAACUGCUAAGUUAUACUUUGAAACUAUCUUUGCAAUAUCUAUGGAGACUCAUUUGGCCUUAAUUUUUAGCUUACUAAGAAAGUCUUAUUUGUUUCAGGUCCAUUUGUGAAAAAACCAGGUGGCAUAGCUGAAGAAUUUGAAUAAAAUGAUAUUUUCAGAGAUAUACUAUUGACUACACUGAUUCAACGUGCAGGAUUUAUUGCGAUGUAUGCGAUGUAUUGCAAUAUGCUAUUAUUGACUACACUUAUUCAACAUUCAGAAUUUCCAAAACCAUUUAUAACGAUAUUUCGAUGCCACACCAACAAGUUUUCAGUCAUUUCAGAUCUAAAAUCUCAUGAAAAUGGAGUGGAUAACAGAGGAGGAUGUGAAAGGCAACGCUGUGUGUUUGCCUGAACAGAUUCUUGACACUUUUGAAUUGGGGUGCAGCAACAGGUUUGCUUGGUUAUUCUCAUAACUGAAAGUUGUUGUCAUUAAAAAUGAAAUUCUUGACAGAUUCAUAUUA